UCUAUUGUGGCAGAAAAAUGCAAUGAACUUAAAAUUCUUUUAUAAAUAAAUUUAUUUCUUUAGAA
rnacentral:tRNA from 1 species